UCCGCGUGUUUCUAUACUCGCGAAAGUGGUUUUGUUUCGUUCACUAACUGAUCACGCAGAGCAGUGCCGUUUCAUGCUGAUGUCGAGAGCCUUCUUCGCGAAGCGACAAAGAUGUAUCCUCACCUUGAUUCAUGUAUAUGGGUCGUUUUCAUAGAUUUCAAGUGCACUCUCUUCUCUCCUUCCCCAUCCCUAUGACUUCUCUAACUAUCGUUUCUCGGCCGAUCUUCAAACAAAAAUUCAGAGACAUAAGUAACUCUGAGCUUUUAGGUUAAUUUUAUAAUUCGUUUCGUUAUAUUUCGAUUUCUUUCUGAGGUUUUGGGAGAAAUCACUCACACGAUCGUCUCUUAUGGUUCAGAUCCUCUCUCUAUCUACUUCGUUUCUCUCUCUAGAGCUUUGAUUGCACCGCUCUCGCACACAUAAAUUAGAUCCAUUACCAAGACAUGGAUCUACUGGUUGUAAUGGAGAAAGGGCUGAGGACAUGGGCCAAUUGAGUUGACUCCAACACUAACUGCAACAGAACCGAAGUUUUCGUCCUCUCCAUCUCGCCUAAACCCGACAAGUAUGUCUUCCCUUGCAGAUAUGAUUGGCAUGCUCACUUUAUCUUGAUAUAGCCUACGAAAAAGUUACAAUUAUUAUUCUUACUGCUUCAUUUUUAAUUAAUUUUUGGUCUAAUUCAUGGGUUUCAAUUGUCAUUUGGUAUGUUAGUUUCAGAUAGAUAUCAAGGAGAAAUAAGCUAAUAGAAACUUCUAUUUUCAGCUGGUAAUGGUUUUGGUUUCAAUAUCAGUGUACAUCAUUCCUCCCUCAGUCAUUUUGUCACUAGGGCUUUUUGCUAUUAGUCAUUUUCUAUUGGGUUUUGUCACCAAAGAGAGUUAUAUCUUGAGUUCUCUUUUGGUUGAAGGUCUGAUUUAUUUGUAUAAUAUGUUCAGUUUGUAAGAGCUGACCUAAUAAAGAAAGGUAUGAAAUAUAAUUCUAGCAUUUCUGUUUUCGUAUUUGUACUUCUUUGAUCAUAACCUUUGUUUUGGUUAUUUGUCUUUAGAACUUGAGAAAAUUAUCAACUUUUGUACUAUACGUUUAGCCUAUUUUGGUUCUCAAUCUUUUGAAUAAUUGAACACCAAUGAUAUAACUUCAUAGUUGUUUAAAGCAACUAUCUCAUUUAUGUCUUAGUUGUCUUAUAUAAUUACAUGUGCUGUUUUGAAUGCAUUAUUUGGACAAACCUACUACUCUGUGCUGGUAAUUCUUAUGUGCCUGGUAAUUCUUAUUUGGAUUAUCAACUCUUGUGUGCUUUGCUUGUGAAUAAUCUCAAUUGGCCUAAUUUACUUGUGAAUGCCAAUGGUCUGGUAAUGCAAGCAUACAACUGAGAUUAUCUUUGUGGGUAUAGUAUCCAUCUUUUGUCUUUUGUUUGUCUUAUUUGCUUUUCAAAAUUUUAAAUUUUGUUCUAAAUUUAAGUCUCUUAAUGGCAAGAUUAGUUUUUUUUCCCUGUGGAACAUGCAAGGGAUAAAGAAGAAGGGAAACCAAAGAGUAGCAAAGCAGAAGAAAUGGAAUAGGGUAUUAUGAUUUUGUGUUUAGUUUGUUUAUUUGAUUAAUUCUGCUCUCUUAUAUGCUUCUCUUUUUGCCAAUAAUGAGUUAUGGGAUGCAUUUUUUAAUUUCAAAGUAAAUUCUUUCGUUUCUGGAUAUUUGGAAGAUUAAUAUGAGAAGAGAAAAUUGAGUCUAUUUACUGGUGCAUGCUUUUGGGUUUUUGUCAUAUUAGAGAGGAGAUGAAAUAAACUGCAAAACAUAUAUUUCAUUCUAUUUUCAGGAGUUGCUGUUAUCUGGAAAGAUUAUGGCCUUAUAUACAAUCAUUUGUUAGUUGAGGUUCUUGUGAUAUGUUUUCCACAAUUACUAAGCUUUGGUGAUUGUAUUUGGAAAUUAUAAAGCAUACAAAGUGGAUAGAGGAAGGUCUUCCUCCCAUUUCAGGGAUUUGGGGUUUGGAUGGGAAAGAUGAGUGAGUUUGGGAUGUCAUGACAUUUUCAUUAUUAUAUUUCUGAUGCGGAGUCAACUGGUAUGUCAAUUGGUAUGUCACACUGCUUAUCUGGGUAGAGCAUUGGAUCCACAUGAUGAUAACACUGUCGUUACAAGUUGUGAAUCCAUGAUCAACUUUUGUGAUCUUCAGACAAUGAGAUUUGUACCUUUAUAUUUUUGUACAACAGGUUUGUAUAUGGAAAACUAUUAUCCUACAUGCUUUAUUCUCUGUAAAUGUCUUCAUUUUAUAGUGUAAUAUUGUAGUUUUAGUUGAAAAGUUGUUAUCAAAUAGUUUUGUUGUUGUCGGAUGAAAUUAUUAAAAGAGGGAAAUGGUUUGGUUAGGAGUUAGGUGCAACUACAGUUUCUACUUUCUAUGUUUGAAUUUUUGUGAAGAUGUCUUUGCAUGCAGUCAUGACUUUAUGAUUCGAAUUGCCACAUGAACGAUUUUGGAAGAAAAAAAAUGCCAUGUAUUGCGCCACCAAUUCUGUUGAACAAGUUUGAUUUUCUGGAUUAUGAAACAAUGGAGGACAGGGUUUGAAGA